rnacentral:lncRNA from 1 species
GCAUUGGUUCGGGUGAUUAAUGCUGCUGUUGGGUCUUCGCUGCUGUCCUGUGACUAAGCCGAUCCCAAGUGCCUCCGGCAAAGACCAGUCCUUCAUCUCUGAAGAGCGUCUGUUAACCUCUCUCGAUGGAUACCAAGUUGGGACUUUAAGCACAGCCAUGAAUCUCAGAGCAACAUGUCCAAGACUCAAGUACAGGCAAUAUAGCCAGCCUGCCCGUGAGGCACUGAGGGAGAUGAAGAAGGUUGGAGAUCUGGAAAAUGGUGGAAUGCCUUGGACUGGAGGGGAGCCACCCAGUGUCCUCGAGGUGCUGGAGGACAGGUGCCCUCGUGGUGUUGGAGGACGGGUAUCCAGUGUCAUGGCCUGGCACACCCCUUCCUCUGUGAUGCGAGACUUCUCUUCCCCAUGAUCAUCACUGUCCUGAGGAGGACUGAGAAGGACCCUGUGACGACCCUUCCAGAAGAAAAAGAUUCUUGGAAAAGAGAGCUGGUUCUUAGUUCCUACUGGAAAAAAAUACCCUGCUGGGCCCUGGAUGGGAGCCACUCUUUCCAGUGGAAACACUGACUUGCAGCACCACAGUCUAUUGUAAAAUCUACAGAAAUGUGGGUAAAAAUCUUGCAUCUGGUUUGAGAUUUAUCUCUGCUACCAGGUCAGCCUGUCUGCAUUUUUGACUCUGGAUGGUUGGUCAUCCAGGACUGGGAGCUGCCUCAAAGGAUAAAAAAGAAUUAUUGGGAAAAACAUCAAGAAUGGAUUUUCUUUUGCUGUCACAGUGUCUUAUUAAAAAAUUAUUUUCUGAACAAGCUGGCAGAAAUGAGGUAAAUGUGAGUUGCUCUGAGGAUGUUCAAGAAGCAGCUUUUGGGGACCACAUUGCCUUGGCCAUCUCACGAUGAAAAUCAUGAAACAGGCUUUGAUAUAGCAUGCAUGCCUUAAAUCUGGGGCUUCUCCAAGACACAACUUUGUAAAGCUCAUGGCACUGCUGAGGCAGCACGUAAAGGCCCUGGUUCACCAUCUCCCAGCAUUGCUGUGUGCGCCUGAGCGAGGGAGCGACUUCAGAGCACGUGCUGGGCGAAGUUCUGCUCUCUGCCCAGAACCGCCGGUCUUCUCUGUGGAGAAACUGUUCAACAGUCAUGUUUGUACCCUCACUCGUACGCUGUUUGCCAUCUCUGCAGGGUUUUAUAUCCUGCGUACAGGUGCUCACUUCCCUACCUGCUACUCUGUUCUAGUCCUGAUCUUAAAAAAUUUCAACAGUGAUUUUACCAUUUCAUGGUGUGCACGUAAGUGGCUACAUCUAUUCUGUGGAAUGAAGGUAUCUGAAUGUGGCAUGAAAAUUUGAGAAAAUUCCUUUACCGUGGCAAUGAAGGCUGGGAUAAGUUGUGAACUGCACAUAUCUCUCUGAUUUAAAUAAUAGUGGAGUAUGCCUGUUAACACCUGCUCUGUUGUGCUGCUGACGAGAGUGAUUG